ensembl:lncRNA
UUUCCUUGUGUUGAUAACUUUGCUGGGAGCACCAUUAAUGCUCUGCUGCUGGCCCCACUCCAAUGGUUGCACCAACUGCAACAGCUCUUCUCUCAUCACAGCUCCAUUUUCCACAUAUUCUAGGGUGAUAACAACCUGGUGUCAUGCUUGCAACUCUACCAAAAAGCCAGCGUGAGGCUGUUGUGCAGCGCUGUGCACCAGCCUGUGCUGUUGCGUCAGCAUCCACAAGCUAUUCCUGGCCCUGUGGAUGUCAUUCGUCCUGGCUGACAUCAGCGAUGGGCAGCAAGUGCUCUGUCUCCUCUAAGGCUCUCCCUGGAGGAGAGCUGACGCGACAGGCUCAGCCCAGGCGUCAAACUUCCCGAUGGCUGGAAAGAGAGGAGAUGAGUUUUGCACUCCCUACUGCCAAGGAUGCAGUGGUUGUUUGCUGUGUAUCAGCUGGUGAAGCACAGGAUGUAUUAGAAGUAAAAUGUGUGAACUCCUUGGGAAAGAAGAACGAUGUUUUUUCACUAUAAAGCAACUAUAUUCCAUCUGUGGGAAGAUCAGAGGACUGUGUAGCCUGGGCAAUGAAGGCAGUGGCCGUGGAGGCCACCGCUGCUCCCAGAUAUGAGCUGGGACACGGGAGGAUGCAGCUCAUGGCUUCCAACGCCGGCAACUUUCUGCUGUAUGUAAGUAGGUCAAUUUUUUUCUUUAUCCUACCAUGCAAUUAUAAGAGGAACAUUAAUAUAGAUAUAAAUUUAGCAAAGGUCACAUUUUACUUUUGUUCUUUGAAAAUUCUGCUGUGAUAAAUUUGCAACCUGUAGUGUUUAUGUGUCACUGAAUACAAUGGCAACGACCUACUAUUGUAGUUGAAAGUUCAUUAGUUCUGGUAGAUUAGACAGUAUUAAUUAACUAAGAUUAAACAUUCU